ensembl:lncRNA
GAGAGAGAGAGAGAGAGAGAGUGGGCGUGCUACAAAGCUGAGGUGCUGCUACCUAAAUUGGAUCACAUGUCCUUUAAUUGCCUUUUCUUUCUAUGGUUUAUUUCAAAAGAGAGUCAUUUAAUUAUGACCUUUUCAUCCGUCCUGUAUUUGUUUUGGGAUUUUUUUUUUUUUGUUUGUCACAUAGGCAACAUGGCACAAACGCAUGUUGCGCGCGCACACACGCACUCAGAGUAUUGAUUGCCCGUUUGAGCAGAAGAAAGCCACGGCGUCGUCGAGGACGACCUCAAAAACAACGGAACAAAUAUUCAAAUGAGCAUCCAAUUACGCCGGCAAAGAGUCACUUUUGUGCGGCGCACACGGGUGCCAAAUUACGCUCUUUUGAUCUUAAACCUUUACUUACUCGAAGCCGGCGACGAGUAAUUUCGGACCGAAGGCUGAGACAAUGCCUUGAGCGGUUGCUCUUUCUUUCUCUCUUCCUCGCUCUCGCUAUAUCUCUCUCUCUGGGCCCUUCUCUCAAUACCUUGCCUUCAUUAAGGCAGCGAAUAGGAGGGGGGGGGGACAAAAAAGGGGAAGACUACAAAUUACUGAUAAUGACGGCGGGCUAAUGAAGAGAACGAAGAAAUUUCAUUAGCAUUUAAGAGGCGAGGAUGGAUGCGCGCGACCCGACCGCGGCUGCUCUCCAUUACCCCUUCACUUAAGGAAGCGAGAGGGGCCGCCUGAAACCCGAUGCCUCAUUUGCAUCCCUAAGUGGCCGCGGCUCCUGAUUGGUAAGGGUCCAUCAGGCUCCUAAUUUAUGUAUCCCAAACAAAACACGGGUGCGAGAGUUCCGUGUUGGCGCUCGCCACGAUCCGCAAGUGCAGGAAAAGCUGAGCACACACGGGCGACGACGCGUCACAUACCGUGGACCUGAGCUGUGUUUGUGUGAAAUUUUUGGCAUCUGAAUGACCUGCUUACGGAAAAGAUUCAUUUGUAAUAAUAAUGAUAUUAAUACACAUUGUUUAUACGUAAUUAUUUGCGAGAACUUCUUUCGAAGAACACCUAUCCAACAUCUCCGACGUUCAUCUACAUGACUGCGUUUGUGCACUGCACUACCUUCUUACGAUUAUUUUUAAGCUUUACUGGAUCAACCCAGUUGGUCUAACAGCUUUUGGAUUUAGGGUCUGGACUCCACUAGAUGGCUCCAAAAUGUGCAAAGGUGUCAGCUUUACAGUACUGUACACUCAAGAACCUUUUUCGUGUCCUCAAGUGUUACUAAAAUGCUACUCCUGUUGUUGAUUCGCAACACCUGUUGGUCGCCUCCACCCACGCGCAGCCCUGAAACACCUUCUGCGACUCCUCAGCCUGCCACCCUCCUCACCUGAAACUCAUCCUGGCAUAAGAGGCAGGUUUCUGCACCCAUCUCCAUGGAAACAGGGAAGACGGCGGUCGUACGUUUGUCAGUUCGCUUGAGCUUCGUUCCGGCAGACUCUGCUUCAGCCGUUGGAUCCCUGACACCAAACAUUCACAGUCACUCCCCCAAUGAAUAAUAAUACAAUGAAAAUAACUUGAAGAAAACAGCAAGGUCUUUUAUUAAUAAGGUGUGUGUGUGUGUGUGUGUGUGUGUGUGUGUGUGUGUGUAUAUAUAUAUAUAUAUAUGGAAAUAAUAUUCAUGAUGCCAUAAUAUUUCUACAUCAGGAGAACAUAAUAUUCACACAACCUGUAUUUCAGAUGGUUAUAUACACAAGUUGCAUAUUUUGCACUCAGGUCUCCUUUAGUGAGCAGUCGAUUAGUUCAACAAAGACUUCAUAUAAAAACCAUAAUGAACUUUCUUUUACUUUCACACUCUCCGUUGUUACCCAGAUGAGGAUGGGUUCCUUUCCGAGUCUGGUUCCUCUCAAGGAUUCUUCCUCAUAUCAUCUUAUGUAGUUUUUCCUCGUCACCGUUGCUGCUGGUUUGCUCAAUAGAGAUACAUUUACACACUUAAAAUCUGUAUCCUGUGUUUAUAUAUUUCUGUAAAGCUGCUUUGAGACAACGUCCAUGGUAAAAAGCGCUAUACAAAUAAAAUUGAAUUGAAUAUAUAAUGUAUAAGAAAAGAGCGCUUACUUCUGUGAAUGUCUAACAAAGGUGUUAAAAUUAAGUUUUUUUUUCCUGGAAUUUUUUAGAUUGGAGUAAAACAUGUCCAUCAGCAUUGUUUUCCCAAUUAAACAAACUCUUUUUGAUCCGCU